rnacentral:rRNA from 1 species
CAGUCGCCGCGGGAAUACGUAGGGUGCAAGCGUUAAUCGGAAUUACUGGGCGUAAAGCGUGCGCAGGCGGUUUGUUAAGACAGAUGUGAAAUCCCCGGGCUCAACCUGGGAACUGCAUUUGUGACUGGCAAGCUAGAGUAUGGCAGAGGGGGGUGGAAUUCCGCGUGUAGCAGUGAAAUGCGUAGAGAUGUGGAGGAAUACCGAUGGCGAAGGCAGCCCCCUGGGCCAAUACUGACGCUCAUGCACGAAAGCGUGGGGAGCAAACAGGAUUAGAUACCCCCGUAGUCCCUGUCUCUUAACA